ACGUAAGUUUCAGCUAGGAAGUUUCACCAAGACCGACUCAGACACUGCGAUAACUGAUCAUUUACAUCUAUAUACUGGUCAAGAAGGGCGCAGCGGGAUAAAUAAAACUCAGUAACAUAACUAGAAGGCAGGUACCGCGUGCGGUUAGUUUAAGUAAACAUGAGAUUUAAGCCUCAGAAACCAAUUGUAUGAAAAUAUUGAACAGUAACAAAUCAAGCGAGCAGAUCCAGUUCAACAGCCAACAUUAUGUAAGUAUUUUGAUAUACAGAACAAAUUCGCGUUAGAUGCGCGGUGUUCGCACUUCGUGCGGCGAUACGAAAAGUUAUUAAUAACACACAACAUUUUAAUUAAUCUGAUAUUCUAAACUACUUUCUUUAUCUCAAAAUAUCCUCAGGUCUAACAAGAUAAACUGGACUCACACACUGUGAAUUCAAAAUAAUCGCUUGUGUUGACAUCGUUUGGACAAAGUCACACAGCACGAGCUCCAGCUUUGAAUUUAUUAUAUGAAUAAAAUGUUAAACAUUGUCAUUGACGUCCGAAUUUGUUUAUACAAUAAAUUCGCGACGCAUGUUGAACCCUAACUUUAAUCUAGCCCCAACUCUAACCCUAAUCCAAUCUUACGACCAUAUAGAAAUAAGGCUUAAUCCAAACUUGACGACCUUUUUUUUCAAAAAUGGCUUGGCUUUCAAAGGAAUGAAAACGAAUUUUUGAAUUUGCAGUAUAGCCCAGCCUUCGUUCAAUAAUGCAUAUAAAAUACUCCGAAAUAAGAAUAAUACAUAUUCAUCUUCAAAAGCUGAAUUUAAGAUGCACUUGAAUAGUUGAGGUAUAUAUUCAUGCAUCAUUGUCUAUGAAUCUAUCCUAUAUGUUUUUCUUUUGCGAAGCACACAAAAGACUCGGCAAAAGAAACAUGGGUUCUGAAGCAGAUGAUAGCAAG